UAUUGGGAAAACUGAGGAGGCCAAAAACCACAGAUGCCUUGAACCCAUGACAUUCUAUACUCUGAGAUCAAGGCCUCCUCCUCAGAAGACACUCCUUUAGAGCUGUGAACUCACCAGUGAAGAAAAUACCAGCUGUCUUCCAGCUACUCACAAAUUACUGGCCUGUCAUUAAGAAGUGGAAACAGUCACAUCUAGUCCUCAAAGCUGUCAUCUCCACAUCAGAAGGCUUACUUUAGAAGCUCAGGCUGUGACUUUGUCUGGUUCAGUCAAGAAGAAAAUGCACCAGGGUUAUCUGGCCUACCUCCUGUCCCAGAGCUCUGGCAUUGUCCCUAUCUCAGGGAGGCUAGAAUCUUACAGCAGACACACCACCAAAGAGAGAAGUCUGCCUGCUCAGAGAUUAAUGAAAUAGAAACAAAUAAAAGAACAGAAAGAAACAAUGAAUCUAAGAACUGGUUCUUUAAGAAGAUAAAUUAAUAAACCUUUGCCCAACGAACUGAAAGAACGAGAGAGAUGAAUAGGGAAACAUUACAACAGACACCAAGAAAUUCAGAGUAAUAAAGGAAUGCUUUCCAAAGCCUGUGUUCUGGAGAUGGAGAGGUGCCUCAGCAGUUAAGAGCACUGGCUGCUCUUCCAGAAGUUAUGGGCUUUCAUUCCAUUCCUAGUACCCGUAUGGUUGCUCACAACAGUCUGUAAUUCCAGUCCCGGGGUAAUCGAUGCCCUGGUCUGGCCUCCAUGGGUACCGUAUGGAUGUGGUACACAGACACACCAGGCAGGUAAAACAAAAAUACAUGUAAAAAUAACUAAUAAAUUAAAUGGCCAAAUUUAUUUUUAAAACCUCUGCUCCACUAACUUGGAAAGUCUAAUUUCCACAUUCAUUCAAACCACCAAAAUUUUAAACCAAAAUGAGAUCAACAACCUAAACAUAGCUAAACAAAUGAAAAGAUUCAAACAAUGAUUAAAAAGCUUUCUGACAAAACAAAGUCCAGGCCCAGAUGGAGUAACAGCAGAAUCUCACCAGACUUCAAAAGACUUACAGUCAAUCCUAAUUAAAUAAUUUAAAAAAAAACAGACACAAAAAAGUCCUUUCAAAUUGCUUCUGUGAAACCAGUAGUACUCUUAUACUAAAAACCAGGAAAAAAUACAACAAAAAUAAGACUAC